rnacentral:lncRNA from 1 species
AGAAAGUUCAAGAGUUGUGAAAUUGUAAAAAUUUCUCGGGUUGAGAAUUGUAGGGCAGAUGUCUUGUCAAGAUUGGUGUUCAUGGGAUUAGAGGGGCUUGACAGGACAGUCCACGUCAGAAUUGUAACCGAGCCAAGCAUCAAUCAGACUGUAGACGUCAUGGAUAUUGAUAAUGAGACAUCAUGGAUGGACCCAAUAGUGGACUUUAUAAAACAUGGCAGUCUUCCAACAGAUCCUCGGGCAGCGAGAAGCAUCCGGUCCAAAGCUCCGAGGUAUUGCAUGAUUGAAGGUAUUUUAUUUCGCAGGAGCCUCACACUUCCGUACCUCAGAUGCCUUAGGCCUUCCGAAUCAUCCCAGGCCCUAGAAGAAGUUCAUGAAGGUGUAUUUGGGAACCAUCAAGGAGAACGGGAUUUAGCCUUCAAGCUCAUAAGGUAUUGAUAUUAUUGGCCAACCAUGAAGAAAGACGCCCAGGAAUAUGUCAAGAAGUGUGACAAGUGCCAAAGAUCUGGCAAUGUCAUCCACCCUCCCGCAGAAGACCUCACUAGCAUUACUUGCACAGCCCCAUUUGAGUAGUGGGGAAUUGACAUCCUUGGUCCCUUUCCAAUAAGUAGGGGACAAUUGAAGUUUGUGGCUGUGGCUGUAGAGUUUUUCACUAAGUGGGUAGAGGCCGAGCCUUUAGCAACAAUUUCAGAGCCGAAGUUAAGAAGUUUCAUUUGGAGAUCCAUCAUAUGUAGGUUCGGGAUAUCGAAAGACCUCAUAACUGAUAAUGGCAGGCAAUUUGACAAUGCACAAUUUAAAAACUUUUAUACCGACCUAGGGGUUGAUCACCGUUUGACAUCGGUUUCCCAUCCUCAAAGUAAUGGUCUCGUCGAAGUGACCAAUCGGAUUAUAUUGCAAGACCUCCGUACAAGGAUCGGUGAUGCAAGAGGUUCCUGGUCUGACGAGUUGCCUUUCAUACUUUGGACGUAUAGAACGUCACACAAAACUGCUACAGGGGAAACCCCCUUCAUGUUGGCUUUUGGAAUUGAGGCCACCAUCCCUGUUGAAGUCAGGUUGCCCAGCCAAAGGAGGCUCGAGCCCGAAGAUGCAGGGCGCACAACUGAACACCUCGACCUCUUGGAAGAAGUUCAGGAUCGGGCAGCUUUAAAAAUGGCUUCCUACCAGUAUAAAAUAGCAAAGUACUUCAAUAAAAAAGUAAGGACGCGGAGAUUUAGAGCCGGAGACCUUGUGUUAAGAAGGGCUAAAGUAACAGGUCAUGCCCCGGGCAAGCUAGGACCAGUUUGGGAAGGGCCCUUCGAAGUCAUACGACAACUCCAAGGAGGCGCAUACAGUUUAAGGGAUACGUCAGGAAGGUCGCUUCCAAGACCAUGCAACGCCGAGAAUUUAAAGAUAUAUUACAAGUAACUUGGUCUUCCAGUUAUUUGUAGUCAGGCCUGCGCAUCAAGGUUCACGUUUUCAAUUGUCAGGCCUGCGUGCCAAGUUUUAUUUUUCGAUAGUCAGGCCUGCAUGCCAAGGUUCACGUUUUUAGUUGUCAGGCCUGCGUGCCAAGUCUGUUUUUAAAGUAUAAUCAGAAUUAAGCAAUUCGUCAAAAUAUGAUCUAGCUACAAAAAGCCUUGCCUCGUACAAGCAACUCAAGCCUUACCCUGCGCAAGCAAUCAAAAAAGCCUUGCUUCGCGCAAGCAACUAAAGCUUUGCCCCGCGCAAGCAAUCAAAAAAGCCUUGCCCCGCGCGAGCAACUCAAGCCUUACCCCGCGCAAGCAAUCAACAAGUCUUGUCCCGCGCAAGCACGUCAAGUAACAGUCCCGAUCACACAGUGCCCGAUCAAUGGUAUGAGAGAUCUUAU